UGCUGAUCGGGUGAGAAGCAAAGCUGGAGUUUUUUUUUUUUAAUAAAUUUGCGAGAAAAAAGAAAAAACCUGCUGGAAGUUACGGCCACAAAGGAUCAUGUGCACUGCAUCCUCUUAUUGCACUGGGCCUUCAACAAAGACGUCCAGCGGGAGCUCCGGCAAAUUACACAAGAUUUGGUUUUUGAUCAGCAAAUCUUCAGAAGGGGGCUUCUUCAAAGAAAUAACUUCCCACGUCUCUUCUGAGGCCCGAACAAAAACUCCUCCUAAGUGAAUGGCUUCUGCUCACAGCUUGUGGCCGCAGCUGGCAGCAUUGUUGGCCACUCUCGUCCUCCGACGGACGGGGCGAGGAUGAAGGGCGGCGGAGGUGGUCGACGCAACAGCGCACCGCCGCAAACCACAGUGUGCCGUCGUCCGCUGCUGAUUGACGGAAGCCACUGAGUGACGCGUUGCAGACACCGGACGGCCUCCCUCAGAUGGGCUGCUCAGGCCCGACUUGUCCGUUGCUUCUAUUUGAUCAGCCUCAUAGUCUGUGGAGUGUUG
ensembl:lncRNA